AGUGAACGCUGGCGGUAGGCCUAACACAUGCAAGUCGAACGGCAGCACAGUAAGAGCUUGCUCUUACGGGUGGCGAGUGGCGGACGGGUGAUGAAUACAUCGGAAUCUACUUUUUCUUGGGGUAUUACGUAGGGAAACUUACGCUAAUACCGCAUACGACCUACGGGUGAAAGCAGGGGAUCUUCGGACCUUGCGCGAUUGAUUGAGCCGAGGUCGGAUUAGCUAGUUGGCGGGGUAAAGGCCCACCAAGGCGACGAUCCGUAGCUGGUCUGAGAGGAUGAUCAGACACACUGGAACUGAGACACGGUCCAGACUCCUACGGGAGGCAGCAGUGGGGAAUAUUGGACAAUGGGCGCAAGCCUGAUCCAGCCAUACCGCGUGGGUGAAGAAGGCCUUCGGGUUGUAAAGCCCUUUUGUUGGGAAAGAAGAGCAGCAGGUUAAUACCCGGCUGUUAUGACGGUACCAAAAGAAUAAGCACCGGCUAACUUCGUG
rnacentral:rRNA from 1 species